rnacentral:lncRNA from 1 species
UCACAAGUCAACGUUGCAGGCGUCAGCUCUCUCUACUAUGAGGGUCUCAGGGGAUCAGACUUGGAAAGGAUCCCAUGCGUCCCAGGUUGUCAGUGCAACAGAAGAUGACUUUGAACUUAUCUGAUCUGUCUGCUUCCGCCUCCCCAGUUCUGGGAUGUUUCUGCAGCACUGGGCAUCAAGCCCAGGGUUUCGUGCUUGCUAUGUAAGCACUCUUCUGCCUGAGUCCUAUCUCUAGACCCCAUUAAGGAUUUUUUUUUCUAAAAAAAAAAAAAUGAAGAUUAAAUGAAACAAUAU